AUUGAACGCUGGCGGCAGGCCUAACACAUGCAAGUCGAGCGAGCGGCGGACGGGUGAGUAAUGUAUGGGGAUCUGCCCGAUGGAGGGGGAUAACUACUGGAAACGGUGGCUAAUACCGCAUACUAUCGGAUGAACCCAUGUGGGAUUAGCUAGUGGGUGGGGUAAAGGCUAACCUAGGCGACGAUCUCUAGCUGGUCUGAGAGGAUGAUCAGCCACACUGGGACUGAGACACGGCCCAGACUCCUACGGGAGGCAGCAGUGGGGAAUAUUGCACAAUGGGCGCAAGCCUGAUGCAGCCAUGCCGCGUGAAUGAAGAAGGCCUUCGGGUUGUAAAGUACUGUCAUUGGGGAGGCGUUACCCACAGAAGAAGCACCGGCUAACUCCGUGCCAGCAGCCGCGGUAAUAC
rnacentral:rRNA from 1 species